rnacentral:rRNA from 1 species
GAUGAACGCUGGCGGCGUGCCUAAUACAUGCAAGCCGAGCGAACGGACGAGAAGCUUGCUUUUCUGAUGUUAGCGGCGGACGGGUGAGUAACACGUGGAUAACCUACCUAUAAGACUGGGAUAACUUCGGGAAACCGGAGCUAAUACCGGAUAAUAUUUUGAACCGCAUGGUUCAAAAGUGAAAGACGGUCUUGCUGUCACUUAUAGAUGGAUCCGCGCUGCAUUAGCUAGUUGGUAAGGUAACGGCUUACCAAGGCAACGAUGCAUAGCCGACCUGAGAGGGUGAUCGGCCACACUGGAACUGAGACACGGUCCAGACUCCUACGGGAGGCAGCAGUAGGGAAUCUUCCGCAAUGGGCGAAAGCCCGACGGAGCAACGCCGCGUGAGUGAUGAAGGUCUUCGGAUCGUAAAACUCUGUUAUUAGGGAAGAACAUAUGUGUAAGUAACUGUGCACAUCUUGACGGUACCUAAUCAGAAAGCCACGGCUAACUACGU